rnacentral:rRNA from 1 species
GCAUAUCAAUAAGCGGAGGAAAAGAAAAUAACAAUGAUUCCCCUAGUAACUGCGAGUGAAGAGGGACAAGCUCAAAUUUUAAAUCCAUCGGGUUUUACCUGAUCGAGUUGUAAUUUGAAGAGGCGUUUUCUGUGUUUCUGAUCAGUCCAAGUCCUUUGGGAUAAGGCAUCAUGGAGGGUGAGAAUCCCGUCCGGUUGAUCAGAUUCGCUUUACGAUACGCUUUCUAAGAGUCAAGUUGUUUGGGAUUGCAGCUUAAAAUGGGAGGUAAAUUUCUCCUAAGGCUAAAUAACGGCGAGAGACCGAUAGCGAACAAGUACCGUGAGGGAAAGAUGAAAAGAACUUUGAAAAGAGAGUUAAAUAGUACGUGAAAUUGUUGAAAGGGAAACGAUUGAAGCCAGUCGUACCUAUGGGUAAUCAGCCUUUUGGGUGUGAUUUUGUGGAGCGUGAGGAGUUAAACGCCUUCAUGCCUGCAUAUUCGUGCACUUUGGGUGUACUUGCCCGUAUGGUUGGUUAACAUCAAUUUUGGUGGUCAUAAAAUGACUGGAGGAAUGUAGCUUCGAUCUCGUAUUGAAGUGUUAUAGCCUUCGGUAGAUGUGAUGAUCGAGAUUGAGGAUUGCAACGGAUACCCUUCGGGGCUACCUGUCUGAUCUCUGAUCGUUGCUCUGGUGCCGAAAGCUUGCUUACGGUUAUCAAAGUCGAUGGUCAAUAGGUUAGAACGGGUUAUUUUCGUUAAGGAUGUUGACGUAAUGGCUUUAAACGAC